rnacentral:rRNA from 1 species
CCUACGGGAGGCAGCAGUAGGGAAUAUUGGGCAAUGGAGGCAACUCUGACCCAGCCAUGCCGCGUGCAGGAUGAAGGCGUUAUGCGUUGUAAACUGCUUUUAUAUAGGAAGAAAUAGACCUUGCGAGGUAAGUUGACGGUACUAUAUGAAUAAGCACCGGCUAACUCCGUGCCAGCAGCCGCGGUAAUACGGAGGGUGCAAGCGUUGUCCGGAUUUAUUGGGUUUAAAGGGUGCGUAGGCGGUUUAUUAAGUCAGUGGUGAAAGACGGUCGCUCAACGAUUGCAGUGCCAUUGAUACUGGUAGACUUGAGUAUGAUUGAGGUAGCUGGAAUGGAUAGUGUAGCGGUGAAAUGCAUAGAUAUUAUCCAGAACACCAAUUGCGUAGGCAAGUUACUAAGUCAUAACUGACGCUGAUGCACGAAAGUGUGGGUAUCAAACAGGAUUAGAUACCCUGGUAGUCCACACUGUAAACGAUGAUAACUAACUGUUGGCUUUCGGGUCAGUGGUACAGAGAAAUCGUUAAGUUAUCCACNGGAGACGCGCGACGUAGACGUACGAUAGAGUAGUACGGACGUGAGACGNGCGACGGACGACGACGAGGGAGGAGG